GGAAGCGAUAAUCGGAUUUACUGGGCGUAAGCGUGUGUAGGUGGUGGCGUAAGUCGAAUGUGAAAUCCCCGGGCUCAACCUGGGAACUGCUUUCGAUACUGCGUCACUAGAGUACGGUAGAGGGUGGUGGAAUUUCCGGUGUAGCGGUGAAAUGCGUAGAUAUCGGAAGGAACAUCAAUGGCGAAGGCAACCACCUGGGCCUGUACUGACACUGAGACACGAAAGCGUGGGGAUCAAACAGGAUUAGAUACCCUGGUAGUCCACGCCGUAAACGAUGACAACUUGACGUUGGUUUGCUUAGCGAAUCAGUGUCGUAGCUAACGCGAUAAGUUGUCCGCCUGGGGAGUACGGCCGCAAGGUUGAAACUCAAAGGAAUUGACGGGGGCCCGCACAAGCGGUGGAGUAUGUGGUUUAAUUCGAUGCAACGCGAAGAACCUUACCUGGCCUUGACAUGUCCGGAAUCCUGCAGAGAUGCGGGAGUGCCUUCGGGAAUCGGAACACAGGUGCUGCAUGGCUGUCGUCAGCUCGU
rnacentral:rRNA from 1 species